rnacentral:rRNA from 1 species
CCCCAGACUCCUACGGGAGGCAGCAGUGGGGGAUAUUGCACAAUGGGGGAAACCCUGAUGCAGCGAUGCCGCGUGAAUGAAGACGGCCUUCGGGUUGUAAAGUUCUGUCGCAGGGGACGAAAAUGACGGUACCCUGUAAGAAAGCUCCGGCUAACUACGUGCCAGCAGCCGCGGUAAUACGUAGGGAGCAAGCGUUAUCCGGAUUUACUGGGUGUAAAGGGAGCGUAGACGGCGAUGCAAGCCAGAUGUGAAAGCCCGGGGCUCAACCCCGGGACUGCAUUUGGAACUGUAUAGCUAGAGUGUCGGAGAGGCAGGCGGAAUUCCUAGUGUAGCGGUGAAAUGCGUAGAUAUUAGGAGGAACACCAGUGGCGAAGGCGGCCUGCUGGACGAUGACUGACGUUGAGGCUCGAAAGCGUGGGGAGCAAACAGGAUUAGAUACCCCCGUAGUG